CCCUCUCAGGAGAAGCUGAAGGACUUUCCUGUGUGCGUGAGCACCAAGCCGGAGCCCGAGGACGAUGCAGAAGAGGGACUUGGGGGUCUUCCCAGCAACAUCAGCUCUGUCAGCUCCUUGCUGCUCUUCAACACCACCGAGAACCUGUAUGGCCAGAGGGCAGGGCCGAGGGGUGUGGGCGGGAGGCCCGGCCUGGCUUAGUGGGGACCCAGGGCAUCAGACACAGGUACAGCACAUAGGCCAGGAGCCAGGGGGUGACGGGUGGCUCGGCUCGGGAGGCCUGGGACCCCACAGUGCACGCUGUGCCCCUGAUGAUGUGGGAGAGGAACAUGGGCUCAGGACAGCGGGUGUCAGCUUGCCUGACCCCCAUGUCGCCUCUGUAGGUAGAAGAAGUAUGUCUUCCUGGACCCCCUGGCUGGUGCUGUAACAAAGACCCAUGUGAUGCUGGGGGCAGAGACAGAGGAGAAGCUGUUUGAUGCCCCCUUGUCCAUCAGCAAGAGAGAGCAGCUGGAACAGCAGGUCCCAGAGAACUACUUCUAUGUGCCAGACCUGGGCCAGGUGCCUGAGAUUGAUGUUCCAUCCUACCUGCCUGACCUGCCCGGCAUUGCCAACGACCUCAUGUACAUUGCCGACCUGGGCCCCGGCAUUGCCCCCUCUGCCCCUGGCACCAUUCCAGAACUGCCCACCUUCCACACUGAGGUAGCCGAGCCUCUCAAG
rnacentral:lncRNA from 1 species